rnacentral:rRNA from 1 species
AUUGAACGCUGGCGGCAGGCCUAACACAUGCAAGUCGAACGGUAACAGGAAGAAGCUUGCUUCUUUGCUGACGAGUGGCGGACGGGUGAGUAAUGUCUGGGAAACUGCCUGAUGGAGGGGGAUAACUACUGGAAACGGUAGCUAAUACCGCAUAACGUCGCAAGACCAAAGAGGGGGACCUUCGGGCCUCUUGCCAUCGGAUGUGCCCAGAUGGGAUUAGCUAGUAGGUGGGGUAACGGCUCACCUAGGCGACGCUCCCUAGCUGGUCUGAGAGGAUGACCAGCCACACGGGAACUGAGACACGGUCCAGACUCCUACGGGAGGCAGCAGUGGGGAAUAUUGCACAAUGGGGGCAAGCCUGAUGCAGCCAUGCCGCGUGUAUGAAGAAGGCCUUCGGGUUGUAAAGUACUUUCAGCGGGGAGGAAGGGAGUAAAGUUAAUACCUUUGCUCAUUGACGUUACCCGCAGAAGAAGCACCGGCUAACUCCGUG